rnacentral:rRNA from 1 species
GACGGAGGAUGCAAGUGUUAUCCGGAAUCACUGGGCGUAAAGCGUCUGUAGGUGGUCAAAUAAGUCAACUGUUAAAUCUUGAGGCUCAACCUCAAAAUCGCAGUCGAAACUAUUAGACUAGAGUAUAGUAGGGGUAAAGGGGAUUUCCAGUGGAGCGGUGAAAUGCGUAGAGAUUGGAAAGAACACCAAUGGCGAAAGCACUUUACUGGGCUAUUACUGACACUGAGAGACGAAAGCUAGGGUAGCAAAUGGG